CCCAAUAUGCUCCCAUAACUAUUACAUUUUUCCCAGAUUGAUUCAAAUACUUGAUGGAAAGUGGCACCAUUCAGUCCAUACCUAGAUUUAGCAAGACAUGCACAUAAUUCAAAAGAAAAAUUCCUUCACAAUUGGUGUUCCUAAACGCAUUGCCUCACAAAGACACUAUAGGUUUUCCCUCCACCACCAGUCCAACGCUCCCACCGUCCAAGGAAAAGAAAACCUACCACUCGUUUACUCGACUCCCGCUGAUAAUGCUAUCCUCCACCCUCCACCCCACUCCGCCCCUAACAACCAAGCCACUUCCCAUACCCCACAUCACAAGGAAAUCCCUUCCCCCCAAAUAGAGACAACCAAUCUCUUCCACCCCAGGCAACCUACACUUAAAAAGCACGGUGCCCCAUAUUCAAAUGCUUGCAUAGAAACUCGCUGCUAAAAACUAGCUUUUGCCCAAAAGCUUAAAUGCUCUUGGCAAAUACUGACGGGAGUCAAUUUUAGGAUUCAAAUACCACCACGCUUCCUAGCCUGACGUCUAUCACCUCCAAUUAUAUGGACACUAUCUAAUAGUAGCGUUUUCCCUUUCUAGCACCUGCAUUCGCUUAUCAAUCUUCAAAAACUAAGAAUUUUGCACGUAUGCAAUAACAAAAUAUUUUAAUCUAGUCUUUAGGUCACUCCAUUUGCCUUGAACUCAUGGAACAAUGCUUGCUCUAAUACCAAAUGAUACAACCUCUUUGGUAGUGUUGAUGUAUAUCUUUGUAUAUACCCUAGGGGUAGAAUAGUCUUUUUGUCCUUAAUAUUUGUAUAUAUAUUCUUUUAUUCUCUCCCUUUGUAACCUAACUUCUUCAAUAAUACAAAACCUCUUUUUCUCUCUCUCUACUCUAUAUAUAUAUAUAUAUAUAUAUAUAUAUUUAUCUUCAUUACACUAACAUGGUAUCAGAGCCAUGAUUUUUUACAUCUGUUUUUUGAUUUUCAUCUUUCUACCUCUGAUUCUUUAGAUUUUCAUCACCUACUCUAUUUUUUGCCGACGAGAAAUUUACUUGGAUCUGGAAUUUGAACACACCAUUGUGUUCCUCAUGAAAUUUUGAGCUCAGAGAAGUCCAGAACACCGCCGAAAGCCUCCAAUCGCUCCCUCAUGCACCACCUGAGUCACUGCGCGUUAGAUCUACUCAUAUAGAUCCUCUCACGCGCCUACACGUGCGCAAAUCGCGUCCCUGCCACACGAACAUCUGCCGCACGCACCCCUGUACAUCAGAUCUACUCUCAGCGCGUCAACCACACGCGCUUUGUCUAUGACCUCAUCAACGCAUCAGCUAGCUGUCAGUGCGCGUCCGUGACCUCAUCAGCGUGUCAGCCAAUUGCGUCAACCAGUGCGUUAGCGCGCGUCAGUCACGCGUCAGCCAUCCAGGUUCAUGUUUUUGAGUAUUUUAGGCCUUCUAAUUCUGUUUCUGCACUCAGUUUUUGCUAUUUCUACCUUGUUACUACUGUAGUUGCUAUUUUUGCACUAUUUUCUACUAUUUUCCCUACGAUUUAGACUGUUUCUACUUCUAGCUAUUUACUAUGGAUCGAUCUGAGGAUUCUAGACCUAUUGUUAUCACUCUGUAUGGUCCCAAUUAUAUACUAUGGUCUUAGGCGAUGUCCAGUUUUCUCAAGGGAUGAAAACUUUGGCAUUAUGUUACUGGAGAUAUUAAGGUACCAGUUUAGGGUACUACUGAGACACCUAUUGAGUACAUUAUAAGUCUUGAAGAAUGGGAUAGUAAGAAUCAUCAGAUUAUUACGUGGAUCCAUAAUACUUCCAUUCCUUCUAUUAGCCUACAGUUUGGAAGAUUUGAUACUACUCAUGCCCUCUGGGAUUUUCUGGCCACCAAAUAUACUAUUGAUUUGAUCUAGCUUGUUAGUAUCAGCUUCUAACUUCCUUAUGCUGACAGUGACAGGAGCCUGGACAGUCUAUUAGUACCUACUUGCCUCAGAUAUAUUCUAUAUGGGACUAGUUGACUCCAUCCGAGCCUAAGUGGGUCAGUGAUGUUGAUGCUACUUUAUUUGCCACCUAUCGAAAUUAGUAGCACCUUAUUAUGUUUCUCAUGGGGUUUUCUGAUGUAUAUGAGCCGGUCCGGGCCUCUCUCCUUCAUCGCAUUCCUCUCCCUACAUUGGAUUAAGCUAUCUCUGAGUUUUUAUCUGAGGAGACUCGCCUUGGCCUACUUUUGACUUCCCAUGUGGACACCGCUCUUGCUGCUCCUGGUUCUAGAGGUUGUGGCCCCUAUGGUUGUUCUCGAGGUUUUUCAACCUCUGGUGCUCCAUUCUCUGGUUCAACCUCUCGACAUAAUGAGUACACCUUCUGUCAUGCCAUUGAUCAUCGCUUACUUACUUGUCCUGCUCGGGUUUGCAAGCAUUGUCGCCAGUGAGGUCCUGGCCAUUAUCAGUCUGACUGUCCCAAGAACUCUGCCUGUCGAGACACUCACCUCAGUCUACUACUGCUACUACUGGGGUUUCCUCUAUUGCUUAU
rnacentral:lncRNA from 1 species